rnacentral:rRNA from 1 species
CACGUAGGAGGCGAGCGUUGUCCGGAAUCAUUGGGCGUAAAGAGCGCGCAGGCGGCUUGGCAAGUCGGGUGUGAAAUCCCGGGGCUCAACCCCGUGACUGCAUUCGAUACUGUCAGGCUAGAGGUAGGUAGGGGAGAUCGGAAUUCCUGGUGUAGCGGUGAAAUGCGUAGAUAUCUGGAGGAAUACCGGUGGCGAAGGCGGCAUCCUGGACCGGCAUUGACGCUGAUGAGCGAAAGCUAGGGGAGCAAACGGG